UACGGAGGGGGCUAGCGUUGUUCGGAAUUACUGGGCGUAAAGCGCACGUAGGCGGCUUUGUAAGUCAGAGGUGAAAGCCCGGAGCUCAACUCCGGAAUUGCCUUUGAGACUGCAUCGCUUGAAUCCGGGAGAGGUGAGUGGAAUUCCGAGUGUAGAGGUGAAAUCCGUAGAUAUUCGGAAGAACACCAGUGGCGAAGGCGGCUCACUGGACCGGUAUUGACGCUGAGGUGCGAAAGCGUGGGGAGCGAACAGG
rnacentral:rRNA from 1 species